UAAAGCGUGCGUAGGCGGCUUUUUAAGUCGGAUGUGAAAUCCUGAGCUUAACUUAGGAAUUGCAUUCGAUACUGGGAAGCUAGAGUAUGGGAGAGGAUGGUAGAAUUCCAGGUGUAGCGGUGAAAUGCGUAGAGAUCUGGAGGAAUACCGAUGGCGAAGGCAGCCAUCUGGCCUAAUACUGACGCUGAGGUACGAAAGCAUGGGGAGCAAACAGGAUUAGAUACCCUGGUAGUCCAUGCCGUAAACGAUGUCUACUAGCCGUUGGGGCCUUUGAGGCUUUAGUGGCGCAGCUAACGCGAUAAGUAGACCGCCUGGGGAGUACGGUCGCAAGACUAAAACUCAAAUGAAUUGACGGGGGCCCGCACAAGCGGUGGAGCAUGUGGUUUAAUUCGAUGCAACGCGAAGAACCUUACCUGGUCUUGACAUAGUAAGAACUUUCCAGAGAUGGAUUGGUGCCUUCGGGAACUUACAUACAGGUGCUGCAUGGCUGUCGUCAGCUCGUGUCGUGAGAUGUUGGGUUAAGUCCCGCAACGAGCGCAACCCUUUUCCUUAUUUGCCAGCGGGUUAAGCCGGGAACUUUAAGGAUACUGCCAGUGACAAACUGGAGGAAGGCGGGGACGACGUCAAGUCAUCAUGGCCCUUACGACCAGGGCUACACACGUGCUACAAUGGUCGGUACAAAGGGUUGCUACCUAGCGAUAGGAUGCUAAUCUCAAAAAGCCGAUCG
rnacentral:rRNA from 1 species